rnacentral:rRNA from 1 species
UACAGAGGGUGCAAGCGUUAAUCGGAAUUACUGGGCGUAAAGCGUGCGCAGGCGGUUUUGUAAGCCAGGUGUGAAAUCCCCGGGCUCAACCUGGGAAUGGCAUUUGGGACUGCAAGGCUGGAGUGCGGCAGAGGAGACUGGAAUUCCUGGUGUAGCAGUGAAAUGCGUAGAUAUCAGGAGGAACACCGAUGGCGAAGGCAGGUCUCUGGGCUGACACUGACGCUCAUGCACGAAAGCGUGGGGAGCAAACAGG